UACGUAGGGGGCGAGCGUUGUCCGGAUUUAUUGGGCGUAAAGAGCGUGUAGGCGGCCAGGUAGGUCUGCUGUGAAAACUCGAGGCUCAACCUCGAGACGUCGGCGGAAACCAUCUGGCUAGAGUCCGGAAGAGGCGAGUGGAAUUCCACGUGUAGCGGUGAAAUGCGUAGAUAUGUGGAGGAACACCAGUGGCGAAGGCGACUCUCUGGGCUGUAACUGACGCUGAGGCGCGAAAGCGUGGGGAGCAAACAGG
rnacentral:rRNA from 1 species